rnacentral:lncRNA from 1 species
UUCUCUCUAGUUUCUCUCUCUACUACCUUUGUAAAAAUCUUUUGUAAUAUUUUAAAUUUUGUAUAGAAAAAUCAUCAAAAAGGUCGCUUGGCACAAAGCAGAAGGUCUCCGGUACUGUUUCUCUUUUCUUCUCUUUUCAUAAUUAAUAAUUGUAUUGAUAUUUAGCCUGAAUGAAAGGCUAAAUAACUAAGUAUUAGACUUAGAAUUCGAAGGUUAUUCACUUAGAAUGUAUUGUAACUAAGUGUUUACAAUAUCACCCUAGUGAGGAUAUAUGUUAAGAACUAUAUAGACCAGACAAUUACUAAUCUCGACAGGUAGGCAAACCUAACCGGUGGUACUCAUAAAACCCGUUUAAGGCAGGUGACCGUUGUAGGGUUGUGUGGAGUACCGUGGUUUAAGAUUUACCUAGAGGGUAGUAAUUAGCCAGGACUGGAGUUCUUGUAAUAGAUUUUCCUGCAGCCUCAUUGGAAGCGAUCAUGUAAGCAUAUAUAUAUAUAUAUAUA